CAUAGGUUAAUGAGGCGAACCGGGGGAACUGAAACAUCUAAGUACCCCGAGGAAAAGAAAUCAACCGAGAUUCCCCCAGUAGCGGCGAGCGAACGGGGAGCAGCCCAGAGCCUGAAUCAGUGUGUGUGUUAGUGGAAGCGUCUGGAAAGGCGCGCGAUACAGGGUGACAGCCCCGUACACAAAAAUGCACAUACUGUGAGCUCGAUGAGUAGGGCGGGACACGUGGUAUCCUGUCUGAAUAUGGGGGGACCAUCCUCCAAGGCUAAAUACUCCUGACUGACCGAUAGUGAACCAGUACCGUGAGGGAAAGGCGAAAAGAACCCCGGCGAGGGGAGUGAAAAAGAACCUGAAACCGUGUACGUACAAGCAGUGGGAGCACGCUUAGGCGUGUGACUGCGUACCUUUUGUAUAAUGGGUCAGCGACUUAUAUUCUGUAGCAAGGUUAACCGAAUAGGGGAGCCGAAGGGAAACCGAGUCUUAACUGGGCGUUAAGUUGCAGGGUAUAGACCCGAAACCCGGUGAUCUAGCCAUGGGCAGGUUGAAGGUUGGGUAACACUAACUGGAGGACCGAACCGACUAAUGUUGAAAAAUUAGCGGAUGACUUGUGGCUGGGGGUGAAAGGCCAAUCAAACCGGGAGAUAGCUGGUUCUCCCCGAAAGCUAUUUAGGUAGCGCCUCGUGAAUUCAUCUCCGGGGGUAGAGCACUGUUUCGGCAAGGGGGUCAUCCCGACUUACCAACCCGAUGCAAACUGCGAAUACCGGAGAAUGUUAUCACGGGAGACACACGGCGGGUGCUAACGUCCGUCGUGAAGAGGGAAACAACCCAGACCGCCAGCUAAGGUCCCAAAGUCAUGGUUAAGUGGGAAACGAUGUGGGAAGGCCCAGACAGCCAGGAUGUUGGCUUAGAAGCAGCCAUCAUUUAAAGAAAGCGUAAUAGCUCACUGGUCGAGUCGGCCUGCGCGGAAGAUGUAACGGGGCUAAACCAUGCACCGAAGCUGCGGCAGCGACGCUGAUGCGUUGUUGGGUAGGGGAGCGUUCUGUAAGCCUGUGAAGGUGUGCUGUGAGGCAUGCUGGAGGUAUCAGAAGUGCGAAUGCUGACAUAAGUAACGAUAAAGCGGGUGAAAAGC
rnacentral:rRNA from 1 species